rnacentral:lncRNA from 1 species
AGCAGUUAGAGACACACAGCAGUGUCUGUGAGUGGCUCUGUUGAAGGACCGUUUUCUAGAUGAGAGGCACAUCUCAACACAGCUCACUGAUCAGACUCAGGUGAGUGGGACCUGCUCUCCUCUCUUCCUCCUGGCUUGGGGACAGUCACUAUCAGGUGGGUGGUUUUGGCCUCUGGGCAGCUACUGAGGGGAAUCCCUGAACACUCACCGGGUGCCUGUUCUGUGCUGACGGUCGUCUCAUUCAUCCUCGCAGCAAUUCCAUUCUGCAUCUUUUCUCAUCACCUCCGUGACCACCCAGGACAACCCCAUCAGGGCCCUGUCACCAGGCCCAGUCCAGCUCCAUGAUAACCAAGACACAGGUCCAGAGACAACCAUCCUGCAUCAUGCCUGCAUCUGAACCCCCUUGGUGGGUAGUGACCAGCAUAACAUGGAAGAAGCCAGGGCAGCAUGCGGCCAGCUGCUCUGCAGCCCCAGAUGGCUCCUGGGCCUUGGGAAGUCAUUCUUAAAGGGGAAGCUGGUCACUUUGAGGUCCCUGAAGGGAAGGGUGAAUGUGCAUCCCAACAGCCCUGGCAGCCAGCAGCAUGCCAUACAUCUUCUCACCCAACCUGUGUGACAGAGGGCCCCUCCUGGGGCACAAGUCCCAUACCUAAAGCAUCCUGUCCCAGUUGGACCUCAUCCUGAGCCCUGGGAGGGGAGGGGCAUCAUGGGCCCCCCUGCAGCAGCCAGGAUUACCACCCAGGGGACUUGGCCUUCUGUGGCCCUGGCCAGACUUAGAAUUUGGCCCAAGACAAGACAAACUCACUCGGAGCAGCUUUUCAGUACCCGGGACCUGUGCAUGCCAGGCGAGGCCAAGCUGGCUCAAAGAGCAACCAGCCACCUCUGCAAGGGUGUGCCAGGAGCAGGUGGACUAGCCACCAACCUCCCCUACUCAGAGGAAACAGGGAUGGCCAGGUUCCCACAGCCUGAGCGACCACCACCUGACAGCUGAUGGAGCAGAGGCCUGAGGAAAAGCAGAUGGCGCUGGGGCUCUACCUCCAGGGCAGAAUAACUGAUUUAUCCUGACUGGCAGGGAGUGAGGUUGGUGGCUGGUCCACCGGCUCCUGGCACACCCUUGCAGAGGUGGCUGGUUGCUCUUUGAGCCAGCUUGGCCUCGCCUGGCAUGCACAGGCCUCAGUGCAACAAAUGUGCUGCAAAUGGAGCCACACAGAGGAAAUGAG